CUGCUACUCUGCACGUGACUAAUCAAAGGGCCCGUGGGGCUGCCCCGCCACCCUUCCUCUGGUUAAUGCCUAAUCGGACCAAACUUGGAGGCUUGAGUGGCAAUCAGCCAAGUGGAUAAUUGCUCAGGGUGCGUAAUGGAAUUAUAUGGGGAGCCAGAACAGAGAGGCACCUCAUAAAACGCAUCAAAGCCAAGGCGUCCUGCACCCCAGUGAGCCAUCACUCACCGUGCUUUGUGAUGCACACAUAAUCGGUCUCAUGAAU
rnacentral:lncRNA from 10 species